UCUGAGCAGGGACUGGGAACUGCUGAGCCAGGAGGAGCUGGCUCUAUCGCUGAGCCAUUAUCCAGCCGAGCAGCAGCAGUGCGAGGGGGGCUGCCUCGGGACAGGGAGCCGGCCAGUGGGAGCUGAUUGCGGCGAGGAGUCGUCGAGCCUGUACAGAUCAGCUCUGGACAGCAGCCUUCUCCACACCCUCUCUGAGAAGCAGCAGAUAUCCUCCAGUUCAUCAGAAAACGCAGAUGUAACAAUGGAGGUGUGUCGGCCAGCAGCUAGUGGGAGUCUACUGUUAGAUACUCACAACACCACCAGGUCCAGUUAGACACAGCUCUGCUGGCUGAACUCUCCAGCAUCACAGACUCUCCAGCUCAGCCUCAGAAGAAACUCCACGGUAUCUGUGGUAACGAGAGAGCCCCGCACUGUUACAGUACCCCACG